rnacentral:lncRNA from 1 species
GCACCACCCUGGCAGCUCCCACCUCCUCUCGGGCCACAGGGCCAAGGAACAAAACAACCUCCCACUCGGGAGGGCGCCAGAGGGAGGGUGCUGUUGCCUGUAAUCUGAGUCCCCUGGGGACACCCACAGCCGAGCUUAUGGAGCAGUCAGUCCAGAGGCUCCAAGGAAGGACACAGAGCCAGGCGACGUUGCAGAAACCUGGGGACCCAGCAUUCAGGAGGGAUUUGGCGGGGCAUCUGGUGCAGGUGCGGUGCUCGGGACUCAGUCACUGCCAAAGCCUGAACUUCUGACCACGCCCAUUCACCUGACAGGCUGACUUUGAACUCACUAUGGAGCCAAGGCUGGGCUCGAACUCAUGGAGAUCCUCCUGCCUCUGCCUCCCCACAUGGUGGCAUUACAAGUGGGUGCCACCACGCCUGGCCUGUAAUGGACAUUUGGCUUGGGGAUUGUUUUGCUUUAUGUCUUGCAGCACUAGGGAUUGAACCUAGUCCAUAUGCCCCUAAACCCAUAGCCUUUUUCUGUUUUUUGCUUUGAGACAGGGUCUUUCUAAGUCACUAAGUUGCCCGGCAGGGCUUGACUUGCAUUUCCUCCUAGAGUGCUGGGUUACGGCUGCAGCUGCCAGGCUUCACUGUCCCUCCUGGUGACGAUCCCAGGCAAAAGCCAUGAAGUACAUUGGCCCUCAGAACAGGGAAUAGGUAGCCUCAGAAUACCAAGUUUUGGAAGCUCUGUGAACAGUUGUGUGGUAAAACACUUGAUCUAACUUCUGCCUGGUAAAACAUCUCAUCAAGUUGCUGACGCUGGGAACUGGAAGAUCAAAAACAUUCCCCAUUCUGUCCCAUCACUGAGGGAGCUCUAGGAAGGACGAUGGGAACUGGUAAGAGUAACAGUGAUGAAACACCUGGAGAGCCAGGCAUGGUGACACACGCCUGUGAUCACAGCACUCAGGAGGCUGAGGCAGGAGGAUCGCCACAAGUUCCACACCAGCCUGACUACAUGGUAAAGCCUGUCUCAAGGAAGGAAAAAACCAACAAGCAAAACACCCCGAGAAACAGAUGUGCUCAUCACAAGGCCGGACAGCUUGCAAACAGUUGAGAAGAAUAUGUGAGCAGGGCAGGCAUUCCAGAAAAAUUGAAAUGAAGAGUAUUUCCUACCCUAUGAAAGAUGUGGCCAUCAAACCCAGAAAAAAAAAAAAGGAAGAAAAACAGGAAAAAAAACCACCCCAAAAUAAAAACCGGAAAUACAAAAGACAUUUAUUUAGCUCACAGUUCUGGAGAUUCCAAAUCCAAGAACCAGCACCUGCAAGGUUCAGCUUCUGAGUGGUGUACAGGUGGGAAUGCAGGUGGGAGAGAGAGGCAAGGUCCGAAAACAAGAGACCAGAGUAGAGCGGGCCCUUCCCAGUGUAUCCCCAGGGCACCGCAGUAGGACCUUCUUAUUUUCAUUUUUGUUGUUUGUUUGCCUUUUGAGACAGGGUCUUACUAUAUAGCCCAGGCUGGCCUCGAACUCACAGAAAUCCUCCUGCCUCAGCCUCUCAGUGCUGGGAUCAGAGGCACGUGCCACCACAUCAUCUUGGGACAGAGACUUAAGAGACUGGAGGGGAUUCAGGCCGAGCGUGUAGAUCUCCUCAGCCAGCCAUGAGGGCUCCCUGCCUGGCCGACCCUGUUGUCCCACAGAAGCCUGGCCAGCCUUCUGCCGAACACCGCCUCUGAUGAGCCUGGAGAGCCGCGGGAGAGAACAGUGAGUGAGGCUCUCGGCUCCUGGCGCUGUCUGAAAUCAGAUGCACAGCAAGCGCUGUUUUCGGAGAGCAGUCUUGGACAGCGCCCAAGUCUGGACUGGAAAGGAAUAGCGAUGGAAAAUUAGACCCAACUCCAACUUUGUAAAGGCAGGAAGCAGGCUGAGCCAGCUUCUUAGCCACUGGGGGUUUUCCUCACUGUCCUCUUCAAGUGACCAGAGUCAGGCGUGGUGCCACACACCUGUCACCCUGAUAUAGGGGGAAGGGAUGUAACUCCCAAACCUGCUAAGUAUCUGAAACGUGAGGUCAUGUUCUCUAAAAUUGAAGAAUGAAUUCUAGGAACAACGGAGGUUAAGCGCAGGAAAAUUCAUUGGGAGAAAGAGAGCUUCUAAGAGAGAAGGAAGGGGGACCAGAAAGUGGGUUGCCCGCCCACCCCACUUUUCAAAGGUGUUUUAUACAGC